GAGCUUGCUCCCGGAUGUUAGCGGCGGACGGGUGAGUAACACGUGGGUAACCUGCCUGUAAGACUGGGAUAACUCCGGGAAACCGGAGCUAAUACCGGAUAGUUCCUUGAACCGCAUGGUUCAAGGAUGAAAGACGGUUUCGGCUGUCACUUACAGAUGGACCCGCGGCGCAUUAGCUAGUUGGUGAGGUAACGGCUCACCAAGGCGACGAUGCGUAGCCGACCUGAGAGGGUGAUCGGCCACACUGGGACUGAGACACGGCCCAGACUCCUACGGGAGGCAGCAGUAGGGAAUCUUCCGCAAUGGACGAAAGUCUGACGGAGCAACGCCGCGUGAGUGAUGAAGGUUUUCGGAUCGUAAAGCUCUGUUGUUAGGGAAGAACAAGUGCAAGAGUAACUGCUUGCACCUUGACGGUACCUAACCAGAAAGCCACGGCUAACUACGUGCCAGCAGCCGCGGUAAUACGUAGGUGGCAAGCGUUGUCCGGAAUUAUUGGGCGUAAAGGGCUCGCAGGCGGUUUCUUAAGUCUGAUGUGAAAGCCCCCGGCUCAACCGGGGAGGGUCAUUGGAAACUGGGAAACUUGAGUGCAGAAGAGGAGAGUGGAAUUCCACGUGUAGCGGUGAAAUGCGUAGAGAUGUGGGAGGAACACCAGUGGCGAAGGCGACUCUCUGGUCUGU
rnacentral:rRNA from 1 species